CUUUUCCAUGUUGUAUCUCACAAUAACUUUAAAAUUCAGGGCUUGUACACCAUUUAAGUCCUAAAGCUUCAUAAAAAUUAAGUUCAGAUAGGAACUACCAACGCUCAUUCUUUACAGUCUUCUAGGUUGUGCUCUGUUAUAUAAAGAGACCGGUCAAGUUUAUAUAAAAAAGUAAUAAUCUUCUCCACAAUUACCCAACAGUAGAAACCCACUACAUCUAUAAUAAGCAAAUAUAAGCUGAAACAAGUUAAAGAACUUUUUUCUUAAAGAACAAAAGAAAAACCCUUUAUUUCUUUAUUUGGAUCUCCUCACUACAGGCUAGUCUAUGAAGGAGACCACAGGGUCUUCAGCCAAUGGAGCCAAGCUGAAGUGCUGAAACUGUACAGAAUCCAACCAACCACUGUGUAUCACGUGGUGUCUUUGCAACAGUAAAUGAGUUCUAACCUAAUCUAAAGAUCAGGCCUAAAGAUCCUUUCUCAUUCUUUCAGUUCUUCCCUCUUCUUCAGCACUAGUCUCUCUUGCAAAAUACAGCUGAAGACUGAGAUGGGUCUUCAUGAGAUGUACAACCACUAGGGAGAAAAUGAAACCAGGCAGCU
rnacentral:lncRNA from 1 species